rnacentral:rRNA from 1 species
AUUGAACGCUGGCGGCAUGCCUUACACAUGCAAGUCGAACGGCAGCACGGGUGCUUGCACCUGGUGGCGAGUGGCGAACGGGUGAGUAAUAUAUCGGAACGUACCUUAUUGUGGGGGAUAACGCAGCGAAAGCUGUGCUAAUACCGCAUAAUCCCUGAGGGGGAAAGCGGGGGACCGUAAGGCCUCGCGCAAUUAGAGCGGCCGAUACCUGAUUAGCUAGUUGGUGAGGUAAAGGCUCACCAAGGCGACGAUCAGUAGCUGGUCGGGGAGGACGAUCAGCCACACUGGGACUGAGACACGGCCCAGACUCCUACGGGAGGCAGCAGUGGGGAAUUUUGGACAAUGGAGGCAACCCUGAUCCAGCAAUGCCGCGUGAGUGAAGAAGGCCUUCGGGUUGUAAAGCUCUUUUGUCAGGGAAGAAACAGCAGCUCUAACACAGUAUGCGAAUGACGGUACCUGAAGAAUAAGCACCGGCUAACUACGUGCCAGCCGCCGCGGUAA